rnacentral:rRNA from 1 species
ACAUCCAGAGAACUUAGCAGAGAUGCUUUGGUGCCUUCGGGACCUCUGAGACAGGUGCUGCAUGGCUGUCGUCAGCUCGUGUUGUGAAAUGUUGGGUUAAGUCCCGCAACGAGCGCAACCCUUAUCCUUUGUUGCCAGCGGCUCGGCCGGGAACUCAAAGGAGACUGCCGGUGAUAAACCGGAGGAAGGUGGGGAUGACGUCAAGUCAUCAUGGCCCUUACGGCCAGGGCUACACACGUGCUACAAUGGCGCAUACAAAGAGAAGCGACCUCGCGAGAGCAAGCGGACCUCAUAAAGUGCGUCGUAGUCCGGAUUGGAGUCUGCAACUCGACUCCAUGAAGUCGGAAUCGCUAGUAAUCGUAGAUCAGAAUGCUACGGUGAAUACGUUCCCGGGCCUUGUACACACCGCCCGUCACACCAUGGGAGUGGGUUGCAAAAGAAGUAGGUAGCUUAACCUCCGGGAGGGCGCUUACCACUUUGUGAUUCAUGACUGGGGUGAAGUCGUAACAAGGUAGGCGUAGACGU